GUAACGAUCAGUAUCCCGAUCGUUAUUAUAAGAUUCAUUUCUGUAACUAUUAAGUAUGCAACCCGGUAUACGUUCACUCGCAUAGAGUGUAAUCUAAACUUGAGCCCAUUAUAAUUAUUUUGGUUGGUAGUAUGGUUAGUGAAUUUUACAUUUAUUCGUUGGCUCAUGGGUAAAUGACAAUUUCCGCCUGUUGACAGGACGGAAAGAAAGUGAAAGUUGAUGGUUACUUGAUCUUCGGUAGCCGUCUGCAAAUGAUGUGAUUUUCCAGCGACCGGUGUCUAGCCAUUUUAUUUUAUUUAGAAAAUAAUUAUUUAGUUGAAAAGGAAUGCAUUUAAGUUGGAAAGAAGUUUAUUUUAUGGUAUAAAUUAUGGUGAGAGUGCUGUUUUAGUUCCAAUAUCGGAGGAUUCUGGACAUUGGUCGCUGGAGAAUAGAAGAUUUAGUCAAAAAAAAAGAAAUAAGAAUAAUUUUGGGAAAUUUUGGGACAUAUUUGGAAGUUUUGAUUUUAUUGGAAUCUUGGUUUUUAUGGAAUUUAUUUUUUGGAAUUCGCCGGUACUGAGAGGUAUCUCCAGUUGGUAACAAGGAUACACCUCCCUCCUAGGUUGAGGAACACCGCAAGCUACCUUCCUUGGGCCUCUGAUCAUUCCCUGGAAAGAGUUGGAGAACCCAUGGUCACUUGGUAGACCGGACAGGUUUUUAUAAGUCAAUUUGAUUGUAAUUUGUUUUAAUAAUAUUUGCACUUUUACCUAUUUUUUUUUUUGUAUCAAUAACUUAAUAAUCCUAAUAAUAGUAUACCUUCAUUUUCUUAAACAUAAUUAAACUAUACAAUAAUUUUUCAAGAAUUUUAUAUUUCAAGGUUAGCUCAUUUAUUUUAAAAUAGUAGGGGGGAUUAUAAACUAUCUGUAAAGAUAGUGUGCACAUUAUCUCAGUUUGAAUCCUUAUCGAAACUUUGAUUUCAUUGUCAGGUAUUAUACUUACGUUUAUCACCUCCGAACAGAUACGAUAUUGUCAGCCAAUAUUGGCUUCUUCAUUAACAACAAAUUUGUACAUACAUUUUUACAUUAAUUAACUUUCAUAUAUAAACCAUUCAUUACAUAUUUUUCACAUAUUGUAAAAACCUGUGUUAUCAACAGGAGUGUCAUAGCUUAGUACGUCCGGUUUAGCUAGUGUAUAAAAAUUGUAUAUAGGGGUUAUAGGUUUGUUUCAUUAAAUUUGUUAGUUGUACCUAAA
rnacentral:lncRNA from 1 species